GAGCCUAUAGCUCAGUGGUAGAGUGUGUGCUUAGCAUGCACAAGGUCCUGGGUUCAGUCUCCAGUACUUCCA
rfam:Camelus ferus unplaced genomic scaffold scaffold55, whole genome shotgun sequence.